UAUCCCCAGAGCUCAGCUAGUUCACUUGCAAAAUAGGAGCUCAGUUGUGUUUUGGGUUUUUAUUUUUGUGGGGCAAUAUAUAUAUAUAUUAUAUAUAUAUAACCCCAAAGGAUAUGUGUUUCCAAUAUGAUUUCCCUUCCAUAAUCUGUAACAUAAAAUAAGGUAUACAAUGUUUAUGGUUAACUUUACCAGUGAGCUUUGUAAAACGUUAUCCCCUUAUCCCUUUUCCAUAUCUCCCAAUUCUGAUCAUGUUGCCAUUACAGGGGCCAGUGUCAUUCAAAGAUGUGGCUGUGGAUUUCACCCAGGAGGAGUGGCAGCAGCUGGACCCUGAUGAGAAGAUAACAUACAGGGAUGUGAUGUUGGAGAACUACAGCCAUCUAGUUUCUGUGGGGUAUGAUACCACCAAGCCAAACGUCAUCAUUAAAUUGGAGCAGGGAGAGGAGCCGUGGAUAAUGGGAGGUGAAUUUCCAUGUCAGCACAGUCCAGAAGCCUGGAAAGUUGAUGACCUGAUAGAGAGAAUCCAAGAAAACGAAGACAAACAUUCAAGGCAAGCUGCUUGUAUCAACAGCAAAACCCUGACUGAAGAGAAAGAGAAUACAUUUAGUCAAAUUUACAUGGAAACAAGCCUUGUUCCUUCAAGCAUAAUAGCUCAUAAUUGUGUCUCAUG
rnacentral:sRNA from 1 species